GGGGCCGUAGCUCAGAUGGGAGAGCGCGUCGUUCGCAAUGACGAGGUCAGGGGUUCGAUCCCCCUCGGCUCCA
rfam:Porphyrobacter dokdonensis DSW-74 DSW74_contig08, whole genome shotgun sequence.